AGAAUUCUGAGAAAAAAAGUCAGAAUUCUGACAUUAAUCUCAGAAUUCUAACAUUAAUCUCAGAAUUCUGAGAUAAAAAAUCAGAAUUCUGACAUUAAUCUCAGAAUUCUGAGAUUAAAGUCCGAAUUCUGACAUUAAUCUCAGAAUUCUGAGAAAAAAGUCAGCAUUCUGACAUUAAUCUCAGAAUUCUGACUUUAAUCUCAGAAUUCUGAGAAAAAAUCCGAAUUCUGGCUUCACUUUGCGACUUCGAGGGGUUCCAGAAAAAGCCAUUUCGUUAAUGGAAGACCAAAAGUUUGACAACACCAUCGAGCUAAUGGAUGAUGCACUCCUGGCAGACUGAAGACUGCGGAACACAUUUCCACCUUCUAUUUUUUCAAAAGGCUCCUCGCAACAUUAUUCGAAGAAUUACAGCAGUUUAACUGCUCCCAACACUGCCUGCAAUGCCAGAAUUGGAUGAGCUAAUUAAACUCUACUUCAGACUUUCUUUUAGUAACAAGGAAAUACUUGCGAUUUUAGCACAUAGCAAUCAUAUAGUACUUAGUAUCAGAACUUUAAAAAGAAUUUGUAAAAGACUUGGUCUGUUCAGAAGGAAGAACCAGACUGACUUGGACCAAGUGCUGGCUUUUGUCCAAAAUGAGAUUUUGACCAAUGGACAGAUGCAGGGGUACCGUUGGCUACAUCUUCGCGCAGUUCAACGGGGAUUUGUUGUUUCCCCAGAUACCAUAAGACGCAUUAUCAAGUUGGUUGAUCCACAAGGUGUCGAAUUAAGGCGAGCACGACGCUUGAGAAGAUGACAAUACAGCUGCAGAGGGCCAAAUGCACUUUGGCACAUGGACGGCUAUGAUAAGUUAAAGCCCUAUGGCAUUUGCAUCCAUGGCUGUAUAGACGGUUUUAGCCGAUAUGUGUUAUGGAUGGAGGCCUAUACCACAAAUAAUGAUCCUAAAGUGGUUGCAAGUUACUUCAUCAAGACAGUUUCAAGUAUAGAAGGAUGUCCAGAGAGGUUGCGUGCAGACAGGGGCACAGAAAAUGGCUGUGUCGAAGAGAUGCAGAUGUUUUUGCGGAGAAACCACCCUGACAGUUUUGCAGGGGAGAAAAGCUUCCUUUACGGAAGAAGCACAGCAAACCAGCGCAUUGAGGCAUGGUGGGGUACCCUCCGCAAACAGAGUGCACAGUUUUGGAUGAACCUUUUUAAAACUUUCCAGGAUGAUGGGCACUUCACAGGAGACUUUUUGGACAAAAACCUUAUCCAAUUCUGUUUCCUUAAUCUUGUUCAGGAUGAACUGGAUGAAGUUGUCCAUACAUGGAAUUCACACAAAAUCAGACCAAGAUCAAGUAAUGAUGUGGGUUCGGGUCGGCCAGUGGUGAUGUACUCGUUCCCAGAGUUACACAGUGCUGAGGAUAGACUCAAACCGAUUGCCAUGGAGGAGGUUACUAUGUGUUUGGAAGAGUGUACUCCCAAAGGCCAGUUUCCUUGCAAUCAAACUGUUUUUGAACUAUGUUGUCUACUAAUGGAAGAGAAAGGAUGGGAUGCUCCAGCAGAUCCACUAGCUGCAGCUGAUC